rnacentral:rRNA from 1 species
AGAACGAACGCUGGCGGCAGGCCUCAAACAUGCAAGUCUAGGGGGUGUAGCAAUACAUCACCGGCGGACGGGUGCGUAACGCGUGGGAAUGUACCUAUUGGUUCGGAACAACUGAGGGAAACUUCAGCUAAAUACCGGAUGAGCCCGAAAGGGGAAAGAUUUCUCGCCAAUAGAUCAGCCCGCGUCCGAUUAGCUAGUUGGUGGGGUUAAAGCCUACCAAGGCGACGAUCGGUAGCUGUUCUGAGAGGAAGAUCAGCCACACUGGGACUGAGACACGGCCCAGACUCCUACGGGAGGCAGCAGUUGGGAAUCUUGGACAAUGGGGGAAACCCUGAUCCAGCCAUGCCGCGUGAGUGAUGAAGGCCUUCGGGUUGUAAACUCUUUCGACGGGGACAUAAUGACGGUACCCGUAGAAGAGCUCGGCUAACUUCGUGCCAGCAGCCGC